AUGGUUUUCAAAAUAAUAUUUACUCUUGAACAGGUUAUGGGGAUUUGUUUUGAUGUGUGCAUGCCUAAAGAGGGUGGUUUGUCCAGCCCACGCUUCUGCUGUUUCCGGAGGGGAAGGGUGGGGAUGGUGUUGUCAAAAGCCAUAUUCAAACCAAGGUAUGUUGUACUCUGCCCUUGCCCACAGGGCCAGACAUUUCAUCACUGCAGGCACUCAGCAGGUCAAACAUGGUUUGCAUUCCUGGGCUGACCCCACAGAUUAUGGUUUCCCUGAUCUUACCAUUGACUGAGAUGUGGCUGACUGGCCCAUCCAAAGAGCAACUCUCCAAUCCUCAACCCCUUCCAACCCAAACCAUCCUGUGAUUCUAUGACUCCCAUCUUCCUUCUUGCCUUUUAUUAAGGAUGAGGACUGAUAGUGGCUUCACAGUCAAGCCCACCAGGUCUCCCAGUAAACUUGGGGUGAUUCCCAUCCAGCCCAGUGGACCUGAAUAUACGGAGCUUCUCUAACCUCUUGCUCCUCCACUGCCCAAUUCCCUCCCCAGAUGUGUUUGUACAGGCAGGAGUUGAGGAGCUGGCUUUGGCUCUGAAGGCAGAGGCAGAAAAAAGGCACUGAGUUCAUCAGCUUUUUUGUCAAUACCUGUUGUCACAAGGGACCUCUGUCAGUAGAAAUCCAUUUUCCCAGAACUUGCUUUUCCAAUUAGCAAUCUCCAAAAUCUGCUUUGUUCCAACCAAUGCCCUGCAGCAGUCUCAGCUCCAGCUGGGCUUUGGCAUUUCUGGUUUUGACACUAAGUGCCUCAUACUGUGGGUGUUUUUUUGUCUGUCAAGUGGUAGUGAUUUACUUAGAACUUUUUUUUUUAGUUUGGCUAAUCUAAAUCGCAUAGAAGAGAUGGUCAUUCUGACUCUUGUACACUUUUGUUCCAGUAGGUCAAGACUUAUGAACGAACAUGAAAAAAUUACUCCAAUUGCAGAAGCAAUUGGCGGCUAGCAGGAAGACAUGGAAAAAAUGUCUGAAAUUAUAACCCAGUAAAAUAUGAAUAAUACAAUAUCAAUAAAAAUGGAAUGGAAUUCUUUUGUUUUUUAGAG
rnacentral:lncRNA from 1 species